ACCUGGGGCUGUAGUCGGUCCCAAGGGUUGGGCUGUUCGCCCAUUAAAGCGGUACGCGAGCUGGGUUCAGAACGUCGUGAGACAGUUCGGUCCCUAUCCGUCGCGGGCGCAGGAAAUUUGAGAGGAGCUGUCCUUAGUACGAGAGGACCGGGAUGGACGUUCCGCUGGUGUACCAGUUGUGCCGCCAGGCGCAUCGCUGGGUAGCUAUGAACGGCAGGGAUAAACGCUGAAAGCAUCUAAGUGUGAAGCCCCCCUCGAGAUGAGAUUUCCCAUUCCUAUAUGGAAGUAAGACCCCUGAGAGAUGAUCAGGUAGAUAGGCUGGAAGUGGAAGUGCAGCGAUGCAUGGAGCGGACCAGUACUAAUCGGUCGAGGACUUAACCAA
rnacentral:rRNA from 2 species